rnacentral:lncRNA from 1 species
CUCCAAUUUAGAAUUUAGUUUGUCGCUGAUUCUCAGGUCGAAAGGUUAUCUAUUUUUCUCGUCAUUGUGAAAUAGAAAUUUUUUUUCGCUCGAUCCAUUUGCUUCCACAAGUUUUGUGUUGGACAAUUAGAGGCGUUUCCUGGAAGAAACUCAGCCUUCCAGUUGUAUGUUAUUCACGUGCGUUGAAUAGCACGAAAGUUUGUUUCGACACCUCGUUCACUUUCCCGCCACUUUGACGAUGACAAAACUAACUCUAAAUGGUACUACAAAGAGAAUUGUGACUGACAGGAGAAACUUGGUUUGAGACUGCUCCAUGACCAAACGUAAAUGGAGUUGCUUGAAAAUUGACUUUCCCUGAGUUUUGUCAAGCAUGUGCAGACUCUGUGGCAAUUGCAAUGCGACAUAAUCUGGCAUUUGGUGGCUACAUCCUAGAAGAUUCUAAUUUACGGAUAAUCCAGAUUCCAGAUCUGGUCUGUGUCGGCUUUCCAACGUGAAGAUGUUGUGAAUAUUGGAAAGCAAAGAUUUGCAGUCAGAAGUGGUGGUGGACGUGCCUUGCCAACGAAGUGGAACGUGUAUGUCCAUCGUAAUUCUACAGCUUUUACCGCCAGUGCAAUCAUAAAAUCAAGAAAACGUCCAUCCAAAAUGUUUGACUCGGCCUUGACAGCUGAGAGACAUUCGGUAGUCGCCCAUCAAGUAGCCAGCUGUGGAACAGGAUUGGUGUCCAGCGUUGAAGAACUAAAAUUU